rnacentral:rRNA from 1 species
UACGUAGGGUGCAAGCGUUGUCCGGAAUUACUGGGCGUAAAGGGCUCGUAGGCGGCCAACUAAGUCAGACGUGAAAUCCCUCGGCUUAACCGGGGAACUGCGUCUGAUACUGGAUGGCUUGAGAUUGGGAGAGGGAUGCGGAAUUCCAGGUGUAGCGGUGAAAUGCGUAGAUAUCUGGAGGAACACCGGUGGCGAAGGCGACAUCCUGGACCAACACUGACGCUGAGGAGCGAAAGCCAGGGGAGCAAACGGG